GUCUCAAUGAUUAUAUGCCUUUUAUAGGUAAUAUACGCUAUUCUCAUUGGUAUUGUUGCCAAUAAGAUGAAAACCUAAGAUGUAUAUGAGAC